GAUGAGAAGGAGAAAGACCCUUUUCCCAUGGACAAGGAAUGGGACUGCAAUUGUUUCAGUUUCAGCUUCAGCUUCCUCUCUUUCUACCAAUCAGAUGACAAGGGACUCUUCCCGCCUCAAUGUUUAUCAGGAGGUUGUCAAGUCUGCAAGGGAAAGGUUCACCCGGGAAAUCUCCUUCCAAUCAAAGGACAAAGACAUCUCUCUUGCGAAGGCCUUGCU
rnacentral:misc_RNA from 1 species